GGAAGCUUCUCUGGUGAUGGCUGAGCAAGGCACUGAUCUGUGGCACUUUAGAAGAGACCUGGAGUAAAGAAGAAGCCAAGUAUGGGACAAUACUAUAUGGGACAAUACUAGAUGGGACAAUAACUUUCCAGCAAGGAGGGACUGCAGAUGGAAGGAUUUUUAAGUGACAGCAUACUUCAGUGGUUUAAGGAACAGUAAAGGUCUUAACGUGUUUGGAAGAGGGUAAGUGCGGUGCUUUGGAAGAUAAAUGUCUCCCAUAGACUCAUGUAUUUGAACAUUUGGUCCCUGGAUACAGGCACUGUUUUUAAAGGUUGUAGAACUUUUAGGAGGUGGAGACUUACUUGGAGGAACUGUGCUACUGUGGGUAGCUUUUGAGAGGUUAUAUACUGCCCCACUUCCUGUUUUCUCCCUUUGUGUCAUGUUUGAUAUCGAGCAUACGAACUCUUUAGUUUUCUGCUCUACUUCCCUGCUGCCAUGCCUCUCCUGCCAUUAUAGAUACUCCUUCUGGAGCUAUAAGAUCAACUAAACCCUUCCUUCUAUAAGUUGCCUUGCUCAUGGUAUUUUAUCACACCAACAGAAAAGUAUCUAACACAAUAAGCAGGGAGAACGGAAUUAGGACAGGAGCCCAUAAAUAAGUUCACUAUUCAGAUAAGGUAGACUAAAGUAAGCACUCAGAGAAAACCAGUGAGCCAUGGGAGGAUUUGACGCAGAGGAGACUGACAUCAUUUUAACAGAAUGACUUUAUAGGGAAUAUGUUGUAGAGCGGGAGAAACAAAGGGGCUUUGACUUGGUAAAAGGCUUUAGCAAUCUAAGAAUCAUCCAGGUGACACAGAGUAUAGACCAAGGUGAUGACAUGGAAGUGGUGAGAAAUAAUCGGCUCUGGAUAUAUUUUUUUAAGGUAUAAAUGACACCAUUCACUAACAGAUGGGGGGGUCAAGGCAUUCAAGGAUGGUCUCAAAGGGUGUUGUUAUUAUUAUUGUUCCUCCUCCCCCUCUUCCUCCUCUUCCUCUUCCUUCUCCUCCUCCUUUUUCUUCUUCUUCUCUUCCCUGAGCAAUGGAAGAGUGGAGUUGCCAUUGACUGAGCUACAGAAUCCCAAAGUAUAACACAUUUUCGGAGAGAAAGCCAUACUUUGGCUAUGCUGAGUUUGAGGUGCCCAUUAGACAUCUACAAAGAAGAUGGAUACAAAGAAAAUGGAUACAAGGAAGAUGAAUAUUCACAUAAAACAGUCAGUGGAGGGUGGUCUAUUGUUCUGACAUUUGCCAUUUUUUUCCCUCUGACCCUGUUUCUGAUUGGUGCAGCCGUUGAAGAUGCUGCAGUUGCAGCAGUGUACAUCUGGAACAUUUGGCUGACUUGUUGAACUUACCCCAGGGAGUACUCCAGGGGAAGCAAGGGAAGGGUGGAGAGGCCAGAACACUUGCCUGUGAAUACAGAUGCCAAUAGUGUCUGGCCAUGCUGUGGACCACCCCUGUAAAAAUUCACCUCGUCAUGACCCUCAGUUUCCCCACCUGCUCCUCGAAGGCUCAAGUUCUUCCAAAACUUCUGCAUCUCUGGAAGAAGAUAAACUUUUGGCUGCGGGUUCUCUCAUACACUACUUUCUGCACUGUGAACGGGAUCAAUGCAUAUCUGUUGAAUGAAUUAAUAUAUCAAGAAAUCCUAGGAAACGGUUUUAGCCUUCAACGGACAGCAUCACUUCAGUUUUACUUGGCACUAGGCACCCUCUCUAUGCCCUCAGACUGUGCCCCAAGACUCAUUUGAGGAGUGAGGUUGCCCGGUUCCCAGUCUGUUUGGCUCCCAGGCUCCUAGGUCUCCUUUUCUUCUGGCGAGCCAUUGAAUUGCAAACACAGCAGGCAUGGUUUCAUUCCAAACCCUGAACUGUUUUAAUUAGUUUAACGUCUGUUAAACGCUUUGAAGAUUGAAAGCAACAGAUAAGUACUGGAUGAUGUUAUU